GCUUGCCUCGCCCGGCACAGCCCCGGCCGCCGGGCGCACCCGUCCCGUUCGUCCCCGGACGUUGCUCUCUGCCCCGGGAACGUCGAGACUGGAGCGCCCGAACUGAGCCACCUUCGCGAACCCGGAGCGCGGCGGCCCGACUCACCGCGGAGGCGCCCGGACGCGUAAAGUGCGUACUUCCAACCGGGAACGUGUGCUGAGGCUUUUUAGGGGUGCGGGGUAACUCCCCAACAACGUGGGGUUCUGGCCGGCCCCGCCGCGGCGGUGGAGACCUUCUAAUCUGUCCCUGUGCGCGGCGCACCGCUGGCGACUUGGGUUCAGGGGCCGCGCGGGGCGGGGAGGUACCUUGACCUGGGGUCCCCGAGACCCUGAGCAAGUCCUGCUUCGUUACACUUCACAGUGACCCCCUCCAGGGCAAGGUUUCAACCCCAAAGGUAGCUCCCGGGAGCCGCACUGCCUAGAACACCUUAGCAAUCGCUGGGGCUUUUCUGGGGUGACGGAACCCCAGCCGGAUACGGCAGCUCCAGCCGCUCGCGUCCCGUGCGCUGCCCUCCCAGAAGAGACCAGCUGCCUAACUUUCCCGGCUGGAGACCGCUCUGGCGAACGGGGCGGGUGGGCGCUUGCCGAUUGCUCUCCACUAGCCAAGGAACUUGUCCGGAGAAGUCGAUCGCGGGGCAAGUGGCCCAGAGGGCGCGCAGGUAGGCGCCUGCCCUCGCUACCGGGUUUCCGAGGUCUCUGCCCGGGAACCCUUCGUAGGACCUGUGGCUGCUGCAGUUGGAGCCCCGAGUGUACCAUACUCAGAGAACAGAGUAGCCUGGGAAUGUGUCUCCUCUCCCUGUGGCUGAGGGACUUUCUCUGCUCGGUGGGAUGGGGUAUACACCCCAGCACUUCCCACCUGAGGGAAACCUGCAGACUCCUAUUGUUCCUAGCCGUCCUGGUAGGAUCUUUCAGGUGGACUAGGGAAAUUUCCCUGAACAUACCCGACUGGGGGUCCAACUCAUAUGGUUUUAUCCCAAAGCAGGGCUUCUCUGAGCUCACAGACCACCACCCCUCUUCUCUGUUGGACUGGGGUGGUAGAGUGAGAAGAGACACUUGCUGGGGAGUCUGAGAGGCAGAUUGGGGGCUUCUGAGACCUUAUCUUGGGUACAGCAAGACAUACUUCUCCUCAACCCAAGAGUCUCUCAUCUCUGGGAAGCGCAUGUCCUGCUUCUUGCCUCAAGAAUCAGGGAAUGAAACAGGUCCUCCCUUUCCACAUUCAGUUUCUGAAAAGGCCACCUGGGAUAUGUUCCUAUGUGUCUGGGAGCAUAUGCCACGUGGCAGUCAUAGUCUGGGACAGAUAUAAGUCCAGCACUGCUGGUCCUGCUCUAUGGACCAGUCACAUCCGAUCCUCACUUCCUCCUGAUGUGGGGCACCUGGGAAAGCAGCUGGUGGUCUUCCUGGGCAUCUGCUGGUGAUGUGGGAAACAGGCUACACCCCACACUUCAGGAUUCCAGAGCACUGGAUGAAGUACCCAGGCCCUUCUGACUCCUCUGGUCUCCUGGACAGACUGUCGGAAGACUCCAUGGAAGUUGGUGGACAGUGCCAGUGGCUUUCACAUCUCCCAGCAGGGGUACCUCCUAGGACUCAGAAAAGGCUUCAGCGCCAUCCUUAGAGAGGAGUGUUGGAGAACAAGUCUUGCGCCCUAGGACUGGCCCCAUUUCAUCAUGACUUGGUCGCAUGGACUCAGGCCUCUUUGGGAGCCCAGCCUUCCUGCCUGAACCAUCCUCACAGGAGUUCAUGCCCUCUGCCUGUUCUGUUCUUCCUCAGUGGCCAGCAGCCUGUCCAACAGAUAAAAUUUGUGUCUCCCUGGCAGCCCUGCCCCUCCUGGUCCAGCUGGGAUCCCCUGGAGUGACUUCUGGGAGGUGCCCAAUAAAAC